rnacentral:rRNA from 1 species
AGCGAACGCUGGCGGCAGGCUUAACACAUGCAAGUCGAGCGGGCACUUUCGGGUGUCAGCGGCGGACGGGUGAGUAACGCGUGGGAACGUGCCCUCUGGUUCGGAAUAACUCAGGGAAACUUGAGCUAAUACCGGAUACGCCCUUUUGGGGAAAGGCUUGCUGCCGGAGGAUCGACCCGCGUCUGAUUAGCUAGUUGGUGAGGUAACGGCUCACCAAGGCGACGAUCAGUAGCUGGUCUGAGAGGAUGAUCAGCCACACUGGGACUGAGACACGGCCCAGACUCCUACGGGAAGCAGCAGUGGGGAAUAUUGGACAAUGGGCGCAAGCCUGAUCCAGCCAUGCCGCGUGAGUGAUGAAGGCCUUAGGGUUGUAAAGCUCUUUUAUCCGGGACGAUAAUGACGGUACCGGAGGAAUAAGCCCCGGCUAACUUCGUG